UCUGCCUGCACUGACAUCAUCGUGGUC
rnacentral:piRNA from 1 species